ACACAGAAAUCUGAAGCAGGCUCCAGGCUCUGAAGUGUCAGCACAGAGCCCAACGUGGGGCUCAAACUCACAAACCGUGAGAUCAUGACCUGAUCCAAAGUCAGAUGCUUAACCGACUGAGUCACGCAGGCACCCUUAAAUUUUUUACUUUUUAAAAAAUGGUUACAAUAAAAAGUUUCAGAUUAUGCUAAAUUACUCUUUAAAAGCAUUCUGCAAUUUUAAUUCCCACUGAUCCAUUUCCCCAUAUUUAUAUCAACACUGGAUACUCCUAGUUUUUUUUUUUUUUCAGUUUAUAAUUGGCAUUAAAAAAUGAAAUGGCAUAGCAUUGUUAUUUAUACUUAAAAUUUGCAUUUCCUUAGUUAAGCACCUUACAUAUAUUUAUUGCCUAUUUAUAUUUUUCUGUGUGCUAUUUAUGGCCUUUACCCAUUUUCCUAUAAGAUACUGAACAUUUCCUUAUUGGUUCAUAUGAAUUUUGUGUAUUAAAGCAAUAGGCUCAUUAUUAUGUCUAUUCCUAAUAUUUCUAACUUUACAGAUGACACCCUUUGAUAUACAGAUUUAAAUAUUUCAGUAGUCACACGCCAGUCUUUAGUUCACUGCUUUUGAGUUUUAUGUCUUGUUUCCUCAAUCUAAAAGUCUUCAAGUAUUAUAGCAUUUUUUUUAACUUUUCCCUCAUAUUUUUACAUUUGACUUUUUUUUUAAUGUUUAUUUAUUUUUGACAGAGAGAGAGCGAGAGAGAGAGCAUGAGUGGGGGAGGGACGGAGAGAGAGGGAGACACAGAAUCCAAAGCAAGCUCCAGGCUCUGAGCUGUCAGCACACAGCCCGACAUGGGGCUCCAACUCAUGGACCGCGAGAUUAUGACCUGAGCCGAAGUCGGAUGCUCAACUGACUGAGCCACCCAAUGUAUUUAUUUUUGAGAGAGAGAGUGACAGCAUGUGCAUGAGCAGGGAAGGGGCAGAGAGAGAGGGGGACAGAAGAUCCAAAGCAGGCUCUGUGCUGACAGCAGUGAGCCUGACAUGGGGCUCGAACUCAUGAACUGUGAGAUCAUGACCUGAGCUGAAGCUGGACACUUAACUGAGUCACCUAGGUGCCCCAUUUAUCAACUUUUCUAUUCCUGUAUUAUCACACAAUUUAGUUUAAAUUAUUGUUUUGACAACUAUUUUUUGUGCUUGUUCCUUUUUCUUUUUUGCUAUUCCUAAGCAGUCCUUGUACUUACACAUGAACUUUAGUAUCAGCCUAGAAACUCUGCAGUUUUUUUCUACAUAAUUGAAAUCAUACUGCAUAUGUAAUGUUAUAUGUUCUCUAUCUUGAGUAUUUCUCAUUAUCAGUAAAUAUUCUUCAAGCAAUACCAUUUUCAUGACUGUAAAAUAUUCCACUGUAUGGAUAGCACUUGUAUUUCAACUGAUUCUUAAUUGUCCAUAAUAAUGAUACUGUCUUGACUAGGUAAUUUACUAUGACUGUUGUUAAAUUCUUUCAAGAGUUAUCCGUUUCUUACCAUGAGUUUCCAAAUCCUGAACCAGUGCAUGGGUAUCAAACGUUAAUUUCCUUUGUUCUAAAGGAGUUAGGUCCACUCGCCUCAUAUCAUAUCCUUCCUUGGUUGUGGUGGUGAAAAAGUCUGAAAAGAGAAGACAGGGUUUUUUCCUUGUAGGAACUAACACAAAUGUGCCACUUUAGCUUCUCAAGCAUUUCUCUCAUCUAUUUACAAUACAGUUCUAGCUCUUCUACUUAGGAAUUCUGUAAUUUCAAGGAAGAAGACGGGUUCCUCUGAGCCUUGGACUCUUUUAUCUGAAAAGUGUCUAAAAGUACUCUGUACACGGCAAACAUUCAAUAAAUGCUUCCUUUCCUUCUUUCA